UCUGGCAAGAACACAUUGUUCAAUUACUUCCAGAGAUCUCCGGUCACUCAACUCAGUCCUUCAAAUCCGAAGAAGAUCAAUGAGACUCCUGAUAAGUCCUCUGAGAAAAAACGCAAAGCGGACUCUGUUCUAAAGGCUAGAGAUGAUAACCAACCGAAGACCCCAACCAGUCGACGAGGUUCCUCUAAAACUCCAGCGAAAGAGAAAAAGAGAGUCAAACUAGAAGAAGAUGAAGAGGUGGAGGAUGAAGUAACUCCUGAAU